CGGGGGAGCAAGCGUUGUUCGGAUUUACUGGGCGUAAAGGGCGGGUAGGCGGCCACUGCAAGUCGGUUGUGAAAUCUCCGGGCUUAACUCGGAAAGGUCAAUCGAUACUGCAGGGCUAGAGUGCAGAAGGGGCAACUGGAAUUCUCGGUGUAGCGGUGAAAUGCGUAGAUAUCGAGAGGAACACCUGCGGCGAAGGCGGGUUGCUGGGCUGACACUGACGCUGAACUGCGAAAGCUAGGGGAGCGAACGGGAUUAGAUACCCCGGUAGUCCUAGCCUUAAACGAUGAAUGCUUGGUGUCUGGGGUUUUAUAGUCCCCGGGUGCCGUCGCUAACGCUUUAAGCAUUCCGCCUGGGGAGUACGGUCGCAAGACUG
rnacentral:rRNA from 1 species